rnacentral:lncRNA from 1 species
AUAAGCUUAGAAUACUAACUCUUAAGUUCUAGUUACAGAAGUUAUAAGAAUAUUUGUUUCUCGUGUUUAUAUAUAUAUAUAUAUGUUCUUCAUGAGGUUUAGAGUGGAUAAUAUUCCAUACAAAGCUAUUUGUUGAUCACAACACUCCUUUCCGAAGGAAAAACUCCAUUAUAUAACAACAUCAACUCACAGAAUCCAUCUUCUGCAUCAGAUACAUGCAUCACAGAUCAAGUCUUGCAGAGUUUUAUCCUAUAAGCUUAUGUAUCUUUCUUGAUGUUCAUCAACAUAACUCCAUAUGGUAAGAUUGAUUACUCCAAAAUGUGACUUAGACAAAAUGUGACAUGUUAAGCCUUUCAUCUAUUACUGUUCUGUCCUGAGAAAAUUGAUUUAGGAAAUAAUCUAUACCAAAUGUGGUCCAAGAUUGAACGUCCAAGUUAAGCAACCCUUACAACACCAGAGCAUUUUAUAGAUGAACGUCCAAGAAUAUGCAGUAAUCUCAGGACAAACAAUCAACUUCACAAAAUUUUCUAUUUCGAACAAAACUGAAACUGUCAAAUGUUCUGGUGGAACUCAAAUUACUUCAUUAUAAAGAAGAAUAGAUGGGUAUUAUAGAGAAAAAUGUCAAAACAAAGACGAGAAGGCAGGCUUUGAUUGCAAGAUAUAGAAUGCUUCAAUGAUGCGUUGUUAUUAGCUAAACAGAGAAUCAUACUAACAUUGUUUCAUCAAAAGUAGUUUCGAGUACUACUUUGGAAGAAGUAACAAGUAACAAACCCUCUUUUUGAAUGACCUCACACCAAAAAUGGUCAUUACUAAGCUACAACAGAUAAUUGGAUUGAGAGCUCAUACCUAACUUGGAGAACACACUAAUUCCUCAUGAUCCAAUGAUGUACGAUUCUUCCACUGUCCCUUCGCAGAAACACACAGGGGUUGGACCACAUGAGACAUCAUCCCAAAAUCAUGAAAGUCAUUGUUAAAAUUCAUCUUACAUAACUAUUAAUAUUAACCAUCUGAUUUUCAAUCAAAUAUUGUGGUUACAAAGACAAAAUGCUAAUUCUUACAUAACUAUUAAUAUUAACCAUCUGAUUUUCAAUCAUAUAAAGACAAAAUGCUAAUUCAACACGACUAG